GUAGCUUCAUAGUUAAUUGGUUCAUUGUUCUAUUUUUUCAUUCCGUUCAUUCUUCUGUUGAGUGCCGCUGACUUUUGUAAGGAUGGUUGGAGGAGUGGUCUAUGUUUCAGAAUUGGACUACUGGGCAAAGUUCUGCAGUUUGUUAUACCAUGUACCAAAUGAAGCUAAAGUAUUCUUUGUCAUUACCUGGCUGAAAUCAUCUUUGCUAUCCAGCAGUUCUACACUUUCUAGUUUGGAAUAUGAAAAGAUGCAUUGUUUGGAUCUGGUAGACAUGACUUUAAAAAAAGUAAACAAAGAAUAAUACAUCAACGUAAAUUUUUAUUGGUCAACAAGUAGUACUUGGAUAUUAAAUCACGAGCUCACAAAUCAUGUGCUUGCAUGGCACGAAUUCAGUACAACCUGAAGACUCAACUAGGACUUCCAGGCUUCACCAUCUCUCAUUGUGGGCUUUUACGGCAGUAGUCAACGCUCGAGUACAACGGCUUCAAUAGUUUCCCACGUCGUGUGUAGGUGACUUUGCUGUUUCUCAGACCAGCCCUACACUUGAGAUCCAGCAAAACAUUUCGAUCAUCGAUACCUCAAUUGGCACAAUUCAGUCGGGAAUUUUCGCAGUCGUAGUUGAGCGUCCGUUUUAAUCGGAUUGUUAGAGGCUCAACUCCAUCAUCUGAUUUAAGCCGAGUCUUCCAUCAUUGUUGAUGUCCUUUGCCGACCGUAAUACCUUUUCCAGCCUGGAACUGAAGCACGUUAGAUGUGUGACAAAGAAAGUUGAAAUAACACACUGAACGAUUGCUGAAGGAUAAGUGAAGAAAUCAACCAUCAUCAACAUCUAACGCUAGGAGAUGAAUUCCGAUGUUCACAAUGACGAAAAGGGAGGCGCAUUGAGAAAGAAACUUUAUUUCGCUACUUCUUCCAAAUCGGCCUCUCGAAGUUCUAUCGUCCGGAAUUUAUAUCGUUGGAACUCGCUCAACAGUAUCUGGUGGUAUUGUGUUUUGGUCAAUCAACUCUGAAAACCCAUUGGCCUGGAAGGUGUCCCCUGUCGCGAGGUGAUAUGAGUUUGCACGACGUUGAUCGAGAAGGCGAGAUUGGGUUGUUGAAUUAGUCGUGAAGUCGUUCUUAUCGUCCAACAUUUCGUGGAAGUGGUUCAGUUGAAAAUCGCGCUGGCGGUAACUAUCGAGCAAAGUAAACAGAAUUGCCAUCAGCCGAAACGAAGAGCACCAAUUUCUGCAAAUAAAUGUUCCACGACAUACUAUUGAGAAUCGCAAGACAUCAAUAUUGACAACAUCAACAUGAUUCUACCGUUAAUUCAAUGGCUUCGGCGGUACUCCGUUCCAGGACCCUUCCAAUGAAAUGAAAGAACAUUUUCCGUGCGACAUCAGGGUGGAACAUAAUGACAAUGAAAACAUGAAGACCUCCACAAAAGCUUCAUAUGGUAACGCCACCGUAUGACAGCAUACGGACCCAUGCAGUAACCCGUGGAACAGCUCCGUACUGGAUGAUUCUAUAGGACGACGCCGGAGGACUUGGGGAAACAACAACCAAAAUCGUAAACCGUGAUAGCUGAUUCAAGCGUGGAGUUCAAAUUAUUAGCCAAGGUUCUCGUGAUGCUCCUCUUUCUUUUCCUGCAGUUGCCGUGUGAGAAACAACCGAAACCUACAGAACUUAAUGCGAGUCCUUUCAAACAAGCACCGUUACAAUUUAGUGUUCCUCAGCUGCAUUUGUGGAACGACGACGGGCGAAUGGGGUCUACUCGGCCUAGACAACAAUGAGCAGAACGUCGUUCUCAUCAACCCAACCCAAAAACAUUGACGGAAUAUUGCCAAGGAUCUUGGCAUGAAACCAGGACUGAAAUGCCACUUACGAGUCGAAUUGAUUGCAUAUAAUAACAGCUCUUUCUUUUUAGCGACAACAGUCCUUUAGUUAAUAAUUCCCAUUAUUUCCGUGUUAUUUGAUUCGUAUAAUUAUUUUAACAAUUAUUCAAGGCAAUGGAGAAUGGAUCUAUUUUAGAAGUUGAAAAAUCAACGAUAAUAAUCAUGAAAAAUUGUAGUGUCGGCAAAGCCUAUCGCCAAAAGUUGAAAGUUGCCAAUCCGAAUUCGACAACAACAUUUACAUUGUGCGACAAUGAUAGCGUAACUACACAAUAUAACAAAAAAAGUGGCUGACCAAUGAAAUUUCUGCCAUUGCACGCGGUGGAAUGACUGCAAAAUUACGUUAAUUAUUACAUACAUAUAUAAUUAAGCUCAAUAAAAAACACAUACAGUUUAA
rnacentral:lncRNA from 1 species